rnacentral:rRNA from 2 species
UACGGGGGGGGCAAGCGUUGUUCGGAAUUACUGGGCGUAAAGGGUUUGUAGGUGGCCGGCUAAGUCAGACGUGAAAUCCCUCAGCUUAACUGGGGAACUGCGUCUGAAACUGAUCGGCUCGAGUGCAGGAGAGGAACGCGGAAUUCCAGGUGUAGCGGUGAAAUGCGUAGAUAUCUGGAGGAACACCGGUGGCGAAGGCGGCGUUCUGGACUGCAACUGACACUGUAAAACGAAAGCCAGGGGAGCAAACGGG